GGCUCAGAUUGAACGCUGGCGGCAUGCUUUACACAUGCAAGUCGAACGGCAGCACGGGGCAACCUGGUGGCGAGUGGCGAACGGGUGAGUAAUACAUCGGAACGUGCCCAAUCGUGGGGGAUAACGUAGCGAAAGUUACGCUAAUACCGCAUACGAUCUACGGAUGAAAGCGGGGGAUCGCAAGACCUCGCGCGAAUGGAGCGGCCGAUGUCAGAUUAGGUAGUUGGUGGGUAAAAGCUCACCAAGCCAACGAUCUGUAGCUGGUCUGAGAGGACGACCAGCCACACUGGAACUGAGACACGGUCCAGACUCCUACGGGAGGCAGCAGUGGGGAAUUUUGGACAAUGGGCGCAAGCCUGAUCCAGCCAUUCCGCGUGCAGGAUGAAGGCCUUCGGGUUGUAAACUGCUUUUGUACGGAACGAAACGGUCUGCCCUAAUACGGUGGGCUAAUGACGGUACCGUAAGAAUAAGCACCGGCUAACUACGUG
rnacentral:rRNA from 1 species